rnacentral:rRNA from 1 species
UCCUGCCUUCUCCUCUAUUCCCUCCCGCAGUCACAGCGGGAGUGUCGUGGACGCAAAUGACGAGGCGGACGCUGUUGACUGGAGUUGUUGCCGAUGAGUUGUUGUAGACGCAGCCCCGUAUGUCGAUGUCGAGGUAGCCGAUCAUGAUGAUGUAGCCAUGGUCGAGGUAGUCAUGGUCGAUGGUGUGGUCGUCGUGGAUGAUGAAGCCGCACAAAGCCGGAGGCGCAAAAAAAUGCGCUCUGACGGAGCUGCAGACAUGGACGAUGCACCUUGCGGAUGUCAGAGGGUGCCGUCGGCGAUGAGUCCACCGAUUUUGCCAAGAUCGGAGGAAGCCCAUCGAGCACACAUCGGUUUUGCCAGAACCGUGUGGCUGUGUAGAGUCGUCACUGUAGUGACGCCGUGUCGAUGCAGUCGUGCCGUCGUGGAUGACGCGGAAGAUGCCGUCGUCGUGACGCGGUCAUUGCCGUCGUCGAGGUCGCGCCUUGCAGAAAAGUCCGUCAGAGGACGCUAGGUGUCCAUCUUGUGGACGAGGCGGCGGC